rnacentral:lncRNA from 1 species
CAAACAAAAGAUGAUGUAUAUAUUUCUUAAAUACUCUAGAUUGCACAACUAAUUAUCUUGCCUAUUCUUCUUUUUAGUUGAUACAUGGAAUUUGAUUUACAAAAGGAAAUAGAUGUUGUACUCCCAAUUUUUUCUCAGUUUGUAACUCAAUUUUAAAAUCUCCGAAUUGUUUGUGACCUUGUCGAGGUGUAGUUUACAGAUAAUUUUUACACAUGAAAAUUAUAUAAUUAAUUAUUAAAAUGAAACAAUCAUAAACCAGAGCUAUUCAUGGGUCGAAAUCAAGUUCAUGGGCGUAGCCCAAUUCCGAACAAGUCCAACACAUGACUUUGAGAGUCAAGUCAAGCCAAGCCUAAUCCGAAUAAUAAUUAAUAAAGGAUUUAAUUUUAAUUUUAAAUAUUGGUAUAAAUAUUGUUAAUAUUUUAAUAAUAAAUAGAAUUUGAACUGACGGGUCAAGAUUUAAGAGAUGUAAACCAUGGAUGCCUCUAAUUCAUUACACAAAAGGAAUAUAAUUACUCCCAAAAAAUAAAAAAUUCACACUAGAAGCACUUUAUUCGAAGAAUCAACUUCAUUGCAAUGGUCUAAUGAAGUAACAAAGAAUGAAAUCGGGAAAAAAAAAAAAAAAACCAAUAGAGAAGAGCCAAACAAGCUCUUUUUAAUUUAAUGCUUCAAGAAAGCAAGAAGUGAAACGAUCAAAGAGAAGCCAACAGCUGCGCUAGAAACGCCCACAGAGAAAGCGGCUCCAGCGUCUGGGGCAGGUGACGGCGCCUCGCUAACCUGCGCCGAGGCGGCGGUUAAGAAUGCCAUGACCAAAGCCACCAAAAGAGCCUUCAACACGCUAACUUGCGCCAUUUCAAAAAGAGAGAAGCAGAGAAAUUUUUAUUUUCUACUUUUGCUCUGAAAUUGUAAGAGAAUUUUCUGUGUAUGAAUUUGGGGUUGGUAUUGGGAAAGGGUGGUAUUUAUAGGGGGAGUGAAAGCCGCGUGGGGCCUACGGAGGGGAGAGUGACAGCUGGGUAACGUUCACAUAACAGCUAUUAAAUAAAUUGAGUGAACAGAAGUUACAGCAUAGAGGAGAUUUGUGAACUGCGCAGUUAGAAUCGAAAAGAUUUUGCUGUUGUGGUCGGAAGCCAAUUGGAUGUUGACACGUUUGUCUGGAAGUUCGACUGAUGAAUCUAUGUCGGUGAACGACAUUGCAACCUGGAAGCCCCGUGGGGUUGAUGAAGUUUGGGAAGGUGAUAAUUAAUUCAUGUUAUGUUAUAACAUAUACUAUAUAUGAUCAUUUUUGUUGAUACAACUACUAUAAUCAUUUUGGACAUGUUACUAUGGCAUAAACAUGUCAAUGUACUCGAUUGAUUCAAAAACUUAAAAUUUCAAUUUGAAAAUUUUGAAUUCAAAUUUUAUAACGAGCAAAAUAAAAUAAUUUAUACAAUAAACCUAAUAUCAUUCAAAAGAAACAAGACCACUCUCCUUUUUAUUUAUGUAUGAUAGUCAAUCACAACAAUUAUAUUAUAAAAUUAAAUAUACAAUUAUGGAUUUUGAUAUUUAAUUUUAAAAGAAUCGAUUAAAAUUAUUUAUUUAUUUAUUAUAUUAUUUGAAUUCAAGAAUAAGAAUUAAAUACGUACUCAUUUUUUAAAUUUUUUUCAUAUAUUUAAAUUAUCUUACUUUCAUAAUCACAUUUAUCACAAAUGUAUUGAAUAAUAAUGUUUCAAAAAAAAUAAAAAAAUUCAAAUAAUUAACAUAAUUUAUUUGGGAUUUUAUGAAAACAAAUUUAAAACAAUCAUAAAGUGUAAAAAAUAAGUAUUGGUUAAAUAUAAUUAUAUUGAAUAUAUAUAUAUAUAUAAUUUAUUUGAGGAUUCAAGGCUCCGCUUGUGGCCAUUACAAAUAUAUAUCACUAAUUUGUAACACAACAAAGAUAUCUAAAAAUUUGGAAACAAAUUAAAAAAAAAAAAUGAUAGCACCCAAUAAUAUUAAUUAUCUCAUGGCAGAAUAGAGGUCUCCCCUCAUGAAACCUUCACCAAUGAGUGAAAAGGUGGCAUCCCAUAACUCUUGAAACUUUGAAUUCAAUGCAACAACAAAGCAAUCAAAGAUACCAAUAUGGAGGAACACGCCACCACAACGGAAACCGGCAAAGUAAACCCCGAUCAGGUGUCCAUUGCUGGAGAAGGAGUGAUAUCUUGUGCCAUGUUUCCGGAUACGUAAAACAGUGCCACAACAAACAUUGCCAUCACAAUCUGAGUUGCAGAGAUCCCAAACCCUGCCAUUGACGCUUAACACAAAAUGUAGAGACGACGAGAGAGGGGAAAUUAAUUGAGGUUAGAAUUGUUUGGUUUCUGUAUGAAUUGUGCAAAUGUACUAAGCCUAGAAUUUAUAGGUAUGAUGUGAAAUUUCCUUCAAAUUUCGGAUCCACAAAUGUGAGAACUUAUAAUAACGAUUUCAUUUCCAUGCCUUUUAGGUCACGGCUUGCAUGUGGAAACCCAGAAAACGCUUUGUUUGACUGAUAUAAACUUGGAGAUAUUUAUGUAGCCUUUUGUUGAAUUUUUCUGUAGCAUUUUAACUUUAAAUAUUAAUAUAAAUAUUUUUAAUAUUUUAAUAAUAAAUAGAAUUUGAACUGACUGGUCAAGAUUUUAGAGAUGUAAACCAUGGAUGCCUCUAAUUCAGUACACAAAAGGAAUAUAAUUACACCCCAAGAAAAAAAAAUCACACUAGAAGCACUUUAUUCGAAGAAUCAACUUCAUUACAAUGGUCUAAUGAAGUAACAAAGAAUGAAAGAAUGAAAAAAAAAACAGAAAAGAAAAAAAAAACAAAACCAAUAGAGGAGCCAAACAAGCCCUUUAAUUUAAGGCUUCAAGAAAGCAAGAAGAGAAGCGAUCAAAGAGAAGCCAACAGCUGCGCUAGAAACGCCCACAGAGAAAGCAGCUCCAGCGUCUGGGGCAGGUGACGGCCCCUCGCUAACCUGCGCCGAGGCGGCGGUUAAGAAUGCCAUGACCAAAGCCACCAAAAAAGCCUUCAACACGCUAACUUGAGCCAUUUCAAAAAGAGAGAAGCUGAGAAAUUUUUAUUUCCCUUUUUUGUUCUGAAAGAGAAUUUUGUUUGCUUGGAAUUGGGGUUGGGGAAGGGAAAGUAUGGUAUUUAUAGGGGGAGUGAACGGCGUGUGGGG